rnacentral:misc_RNA from 1 species
UUUUUUUUUUUUUUGGUAGGCUAUGGUAUGUAGUUUAUGAUUCUCAUAACAUUUUUAGGGUAAUCUUUGGUUUGAUGCCAGGAUGUUUUUUUUAGUAAUAAAUAUUGCAUGAAUCGUUAUUUGAUGGAUUGAAGUUGAUGUGUUAUAUAUUUAGGUCUAGGCGAGUUGGGGAAACUUUAAGUGGGAAGUUAAAGGCUAUUUCUUCCAUUUCUCUUAUCUAGCUUAUAUAUUUAGGUCUUAUUUGGUUGGGA